rnacentral:rRNA from 1 species
UACGUAGGGACCGAGCGUUGUCCGGAAUCAUUGGGCGUAAAGAGCGUGUAGGCGGCCACUUAAGUCCUGCGUGAAAUCUUGCGGCUCAACCGCAAGCGGUCGUGGGAAACUGGGUGGCUAGAGUGCGGGAGGGGAGAGUGGAAUUCCUGGAGUAGCGGUGGAAUGCGCAGAUAUCAGGAAGAACACCCGUGGCGAAGGCGGCUCUCUGGAACGCAACUGACGCUGAGACGCGAAAGCGUGGGGAGCAAACAGG